rnacentral:lncRNA from 1 species
GACUAAACAGACAGAGGGGGAGUGUGAUCCAUGUGUCUUUGCGAAGGCAUGAAAGUGUAAAGCUUACGUCCUUUUUGAGUAAUGAAAGAAGCUGCAGUUUCUUAUAGGAAGGACAGAGGAACAUCCUCUUCAGAGUGACACAAAAGGGUUAAAGGUAAGACUUAACAGCCACCUGACUUAAGUUUUAUCGUCCCACCAGUGGAAGCAGAUUAGUGUCGUUAAAGAAGAUCAUUUGUGUGUGUCCUCUAGAAGGGUGUAGCC